UACGAAGGGUGCAAACGUUGCUCGGAAUUAUUGGGCGUAAAGCGCACGUAGGCGGCUUGUCACGUCGGAUGUGAAAGCCCGGGGCUUAACCCCGGGUCUGCAUUCGAUACGGGCUAGCUAGAGUGUGGUAGGGGAGAUCGGAAUUCCUGGUGUAGCGGUGAAAUGCGCAGAUAUCAGGAGGAACACCGAUGGCGAAGGCAGGUCACUGGGCCGCAACUGACGCUGAGGAGCGAAAGCAUGGGGAGCGAACAGG
rnacentral:rRNA from 1 species